rnacentral:rRNA from 1 species
GACGAACGCUGGCGGCGUGCUUAAUACAUGCAAGUCGAACGGAAAGGCCCUGCUUUUGUGGGGUGCUCGAGUGGCGAACGGGUGAGUAACACGUGAGUAACCUGCCCUUGACUGUGGGAUAACUUUAGGAAACUGGGGCUAAUACCGGAUAGGAGCUCCUGCUGCAUGGUGGGGGUUGGAAAGUUUCGGCGGUUGGGGAUGGACUCGCGGCUUCUCAGCCUGUUGGUGGGGUAGUGGCUUACCAAGGCUUUGACGGGUAGCCGGCCUGAGAGUGUGACCGGCCACAUUGGGACUGAGAUACGGCCCAGACUCCUACGGGAGGCAGCGGUGGAGAAUAUUGCACAAUGGGCGGAAGCCUGAUGCAGCAACGCCGCGUGCGGGAUGACGGCCUUCGGGUUGUAACCCGCUUUCGCCUGUGACGAAGCGUGAGUGACGGUAAUGGGUAAGAAAGCACCGGCUAACUACGUG